GGAAACGGGUUGUUUCCAUUAAAGAUGGCUGAAAAAUGGAAAUCUUUAAAUUUUCUUGGAUUGGAGAUCAAUAAUAAGCUGGUCAUGCAUUGUCUGGAUGCCAUUGUUGACUGCAAGAGAACAAAUGUGCAUUUCAUAUCAACAAAUGCAACUUCCACAUUUCGCUCUAUUGUUUCAACUUAUCCUGGACGAUUGAUUCUUGUUUCAAUACAG